UUGUUGAAGUGUGCUUAUGUGUGCGUGUGCCUGUGUGUAUGUGUAUGUCUAUGUGUAUGUGUGUCUGUGUGUGUGCAUGUGUGGGAGGGUAGGAGAAUCCAAAAUAAACAAAAAUUGUAAUAAAGAGUAUUUUUCAUUUAACUUUCCCAACAACUCAUAUUUAAAGUAUUUUCACAGUUUCUGAGGGAAAAACAAUGAUGUGGCAAAGCUAAAAUAUAAAGGAGCUCACAUUUCAAUCCCCUUUCUCCAGCAUUCAGUUAAAUAUUAUUUUUAAGAUAUUAUCAGUUUUCCUUUUUGUUUACAUUUUCUUGAGGAAGAAGUGGCCUCCAGAUGUGAGAUCAAGCCCAGGAAAUGGGAUUUUAUCCAAGUGGAGGCUGGCAUCGUGCUUCCAGAAAGCUGCUCUGUUGUCUCGAGAAGAAACUCGUUUCUGAAAGCAGGCUGCUUCUCUCCAAAACACAUCAAAAGACUUCCCUGAGUCAAAGCAACCUCGAAAAUGUCCAACUGCAAAGACCCAUGUCUACAAAUUGCUGUCAGCCAGAGGAAUGGCUGUAACUUCCUUGGUGCCGAGGACUCCCUGCUCAGUUCCUACUUACAGUAUCUGAGUCACUUAACUAAAUGCAAUUGGCCCAGCUGCAGGCACCACUGCUCGGGCCACUAUGAGAACCAGCCCCUGAGCUUCCGGACAGGAAACAGCAUCUGCAUUUCCAGACUGUAGCAGCUCAUCAUGCCAGGCUCCACAGGCAAGAAUCAAGCAGAUGGAAGCUGCAGAGGAAACAAACAGGGUUCCCUGAAAUCAGCAGCUGGGGAGAAUUUAUCUUACAA